GUUUCAUUGAAUGAGGGAGGAAUCUGACCCGAAUUAAGCCAAAUUUGGCAGUUUCUGAGUACCUCAUCACCUAUCAAAUGCCAAAAUUCUGGAAAAAAGCUGGAUUUAGCCAUCUGGCCCUGCGGCUUUAUCUGGGUUCAUUUGGAAUAUAGCUUUCUUGAAUUCGCAAGCCUGGAAAGGACUGAGUAGCAUCUUUAGAGACCUUCUCUGAAAUACAACUGAGGGCAUCCUCGUACUCGCCUUUGCUGCUAGCGAACAGAGAACUGAAGUACUCCAAAGCCACAUUGCCCAUUAGAGAUGUUUCGUAGACCCAGUUGCCAUCUUUAUCCUGAAGUACUCCAAAAUCACACAUAUCGAUUGAUUCUUAUGUUUCUCCUUUGAUGUCGAUUUUGCGUACUAAAACAAUUGAAUUAGGGGUUGCUUAAGUUUCUGAUUUGGAACUCGGAUUCUCUCUCUUGGAGAAGUGCCAUGCGACUUCUUUGCGGCAGGAAGGUUCAGGAGGGAUGGAGCCAAAAUGUGUGACACUCCUAUGGCUUCGAUUCUUUUAUUAGUUCCAUUAAAAAUCUUCUGGCACAGAUGAUGUCAUUUAGUUGCAAGUUUUUAUUAUCAUUCUAUUGUGCUCAUCUAUCUAUCAGAGUUCACUGCUGGGUUUCUUUAUUUGUUUAUUCUUCACUUUCUCUUCCCUUUUUUUCCCCCUCUCUGUUUUUUGUUGGGGGGAGGGAGGGGUGGUUGAGACGCACUGUGGGUUUACUUGAUGCCCUACAUAUCAAUUAUUGUGAUAUGGCGGGUAGUCGGAAACUGUUGAUGGAUGUUGGUCUGAUUGUUUGGAAUGAUGUGUCAUCAUUGGGCUAGUCUGGUGCUGCAACUCGUAGCCCUUUGCUUCAUAAGUAUUAGGUGAAGUUAAAUCCGCGGAUGGGACUGACUUGCUACCCCCAUAGUCCACCAGCCUGGUGUUAAGUGGUUAGUGUUUUUCAAAUUUUGACAUCUUGCUUUGAACUUCAUGCAUUUCGACUCUGUAAGAAUUUAGGGCGAUAAAUGCUAUUUGAAGAUUACAUAACCAUCUUUAUGUUUGAAAGUUUUCUUUAAUGAAUUUUCUAAAUAUGAAAGUACUGUGUUUGGGACAUCAAUCUAGUGAUGUUUCACUGCCCCGUGUAUGAUUUGAUGUCAUUACAUUGGAUGUUGCUAAUUCACAAAUCACAACCCUUCAACUUUUCUACUUGGAGAUGCCUAUGGAGAUUUGUUGGGGAUAUGAAGAACCCAGCUGUACUGUGUGUUUCUUGUCUUGUGAUUGCUUUGCGUCAAGUGGAUAGAAGUCCAUUGCGUGGUAUGUGUUCUCUCGCUUUAUAAGCUGCCAUAAACUGUAAAUAUUUUAUUUUCUAUCAUUUAUCAGUUUAAAGGUAAAAAAGAUGGAGUUUCGGUUGAAGGAACCUGUCUUGGAAGUACUCUCUUAAUGGAAGUAGGAAUGUUAUCUUAGGCUCUUCUUUUCCAUGCUUUCAAAUUUGCUGUGCUAAUUAACUAUAUUUUCAGAAUGAAGCCAUACUGAAAUAUUAUACUUUUCCAGGGUGAUGGUUUAUGGCAUGGAGUUUGUUUAGCAUUGGUUGACUAGCACGUAGAGGGUUGCUAUUG
rnacentral:misc_RNA from 1 species